rnacentral:rRNA from 1 species
CCCUUAGAUGUUCUGGGCUGCACGCGCGCUACACUGAAGCUAUCAACACGUUUUCCCUCCCUGAGAAGGGCGGGUAACCUUUUGAAUCAGCUUCGUGGUAGGGAUCGGGGCUUGCAAUUGUUCCCCGUGAACCAGGAAUUCCUAGUAGACGCGAGUCAUAAGCUCGCAUCGAUUAAGUCCCUGCCCUUUGUACACACCGCCCGUCGCUACUACCGAUUGAACGUUUUAGUGAGGCAUUUGGAACGACGCAUCUCAGUUUAACCGCUGGUUUGUGUUGGAAAGACUUCCAAACUUGAGCGUUUAGAGGAAGUAAAAGUCGUAACA